GGAAGAUGAAGGUGCUUUCAAGGCGGGAGAAGGUGCAAAAAGCAAGUCCCUGGGUGCCUUGUAGAGAAGGCGGUGUUGGUGUACAGUUUAAAUAGGAUGCCCAGUGUAGUGCACUCCAGCCGCUGUGGCUCCUCAUGACCAUCUGGAAAGCAUUUUGCCAGCGUGAGAGAUUGGCAAAGAGACUCGGGCAUCCGGAAGACUGAACCCACUGCACCUUGGUAGCUUUGUGCAGGGCAUCCUCUGCCAGGAUGUGGAUGGAAUCCCAGCUGUGAGCCCAGAUUUGUACUGUGCUCAUGCUGCCCAGAUGACGACUGCAUUUUCCAGCCUCCCUGGCAGUGGAUGAGGCUGAGUUACUGAGUUCCGGCCAACAGAAUGGGAGUGGAAGUGAGUGUGCAAAUCCCAGGAGGGCAGGGCAGAAACAUGGCCCCUUGCCUGCUUCUCCCAGCUGGCCCAGUCCUGUGGAGCCAAGGGGCAUUGGAGGAGCAACAAGAGCGAAGGAGGCUGGGUGCCCUGUACUCAGUCUGCUGUGCCAGCCCAGGCUGCUCCCUCUGAGACCAUCUAAGCAGAGGAAAAUAAACUGCUAUGUUGUUUAAGCCACAAAGUUUGGGGAUUUCUUUGUUAUAGUAGCCUAACUCAUACUCUACCUAGUACAGUGAUCAGUAGAUGGUACUUCCUUCCUCUCUGUGUGCCUU
rnacentral:lncRNA from 1 species